CGCAAGGUUGGAACUCAAAGAAAUUGACGGGGGUCUACACAAGUGGUGGAGCAUGUGAUUUAAUGCGAUACUACACGCAAAACCUUACCAAUUUUUGAAUAUAAAUACUUGUAAAUUUUAAUUUUAGUCAUUUUUAUAAAAUAAUUGAUUGAGUUAUUUCAUAAUAUAUUUAUACAGGUGUUGCAUGGCUGUCGUCAGCUCGUGUUGUGAAAUGUUUGGUUAAUUCCUUUAACGUGCGUAACUCUUAGCUUAUAUUGGUAAUGUUUAGACUAAUCUAAAACAACAACUUUUAAGCUACUGCUAGUGAUAAAUUAGAGGAAGGUGAGAACGACGUCAAGCCCUUAUGACCUUUAUAAAUUGGGCUAUACACGUGCUACACUGAUCAAUACAAAAAAUUAUACAAUAAAGUAAUUUGAAGUAAAUUUUUAAAAUUUAUCGUAUUCAGAUUAAAGACUGUAACUCGUCUUUAUAAAGCCGGAAUCACAAGUAAUCGUAAAUCAGCAUGUUACGGUGAAUUAGUACCUAGAUCUUGUACACACCGCCCGUCACA
rnacentral:rRNA from 1 species